CAGGCGCCCACAGCCUGCAAAGCUUCUCCAGUGCCGCCUCCUCAGUGAACCGCAAGCAGCGGCACCUAGCAGCUUUCUCCACCACGCUCUUCAGGCAGGAAGCCCACCUGACCCCACGUCUCAGGCUGCCAGAGAAGCGUGUGAUGAGGAAGGCUGGACUAUCUUCACAGGACACCGGGGAGAAGCCUCAAGCCACAGCCCCCUGACAAGUCUCAGCUCUCCAGCCUGUCUCCUGGCUCCCCUCCCCUCCACACGGGGGUGUUGGCGGGGGGGUCAUUUCAGCUCCUGGGCACCAGUCUCCUCCUCAUGUUUAUCCUGUUCCCUUUGCUUGAAAGGUUCUUACUCCAGAUCCUUGUAAAACGGCUUCUCACCCUUUGAGUCUCAGCUUAAAUGUCCCCUCCUUGGAGGGGUCUUCCCUGACAAUGAAGCUCCGACCAUC
rnacentral:antisense_RNA from 1 species